rnacentral:rRNA from 1 species
GCCUGCGACCAUAUCACCCUGAAUGCUCCCGAUCUCGUCUGAUCUCGGAAGCUAAGCAUGGUCGAGCCUGAUUAGUACUUGGAAGGGAGACUGCCUGGGAAUACCAGGUGUUGUAGGCU